CAUGAAGAGAGUGAAGUGAGGAGUUUCCUGCAGUGUCUGCCUUAUAUCUCACAGCUCAGUGUUGAUACUGAGUGGUCAGAUCUUCAUGAAGCAGUCAGGUUCUUUGUGAAUCUGUUCUGUGCAGCAGCAGAGAGAGAACAGCAGACAGGAGAGAAGAUACUGCAGCUGUUAUCAUCAGUGUGCAGAUAUCAAACAUUCCCUGUUCAUGAGAGAUACAUGGAUGAUUCUUAUGUGUCUGAUUUCCUGCUGGAUCUGUACUCUCAUAUGAAGGACUGUGAGCCUGAAACAGGCCUGAAUGUCCUUCCAUCAUUACAGUCAGUUUUCCAGUCAGCUCCUGCAGUCUGGUCCAUAAACCUCUCAGAGAGAAAGACCUCCAUCCUCCUGGAAGUGCUGAAACUCCAACCAGUGAAGAAAGAAGUGGAGCUGACAGGCUGGGCCCAUGAAGAGAGUGAAGUACUGAGUUUCCUUCGGUGUCUGCCUUAUAUCUCACAGCUCAGAGGGAGAACUGCAGCCAGGAGAGAAGAUACUGAAGCUGUUAUCAUCAGUGUGCAGAUAUGGAAUAUUCCCUUUUGAUCACACAGAUGAUGACUACGAAGAAAUGGAGUAUCAGUGUGAUUUCCUGCUGGAUCUGUACUCUCAUGUGAAGGACUGUGAGACUAAAACAGGCUUGAGUGUCCUUCCAUCAUUACAGUCAGUUUUCCAGUCAGCUCCUGCAGUCUGGUCCAUAAAGCUCUCAGAGAGAAA